rnacentral:rRNA from 1 species
AUUAGAGUUUGAUCAUGGCUCAGGACGAACGCUGGCGGCGUGCCUAACACAUGCAAGUCGAGCGAAUGAAGUUCCUUCGGGAACGGAUUUAGCGGCGGACGGGUGAGUAACACGUGGGCAACCUGCCUCAUAGAGGGGAAUAGCCUUCCGAAAGGGAGAUCAAUACCUCAUAAUAUUGUAGCUUCGCAUGAAGCAACAAUCAAAGGAGCAAUCCACUACAAGAUGGGCCCGCGGCGCAUUAGCUAGUUGGUGAGGUAACGGCUCACCAAGGCGACGAUGCGUAGCCGACCUGAGAGGGUGAUCGGCCACAUUGGGACUGAGACACGGCCCAGACUCCUACGGGAGGCAGCAGUGGGGAAUAUUGCACAAUGGGGGAAACCCUGAUGCAGCAACGCCGCGUGAGUGAUGACGGUCUUCGGAUUGUAAAGCUCUGUCUUCAGGGACGAUAAUGACGGUACCUGAGGAGGAAGCCACGGCUAACUACGUGCCAGCAGCCGCGGUAAUAAU